rnacentral:rRNA from 1 species
AGAUUGCGGUGUGUGAAGACGACACGAACCGAAAGUUCGCAUCGCUCACGAACGCAACACACAAAUCUAUCGCAUACCCAUUCGCUGGCACGUGACCGCAAGGCACGCACCGGCUACCGAAUUUCUUGACGACCAUAGAGCAUUGGAACCACCUGAUCCCAUCCCGAACUCAGAAGUGAAACGAUGCAUCGCCGAUGGUAGUGUGGGGUUUCCCCAUGUGAGAGUAGGUCAUCGUCAAGA